CCUCAGCCUCACAAAAUGCCGGGAUUACAGGUGUGAGCCACUGUGCCCAGCUUUUUCUUGUUGUUUUAAAAACAUUGCAGCUGGUCUGUGUUGAUGGGUAAAGAGAGGAAACCAAGGAGGCAGGAGAGAAAAGGGGGAAGGGCUGAAGUAAUGGCUGUGAGUUGAUGAGAAGGACGAGGAGUUGGUGAGGAAAAGAGGUGGCUCAGGCAGCCAAUGUCACAUUGGAAGGUGCCACCUUGGAAGUGGCUCCUUCGGCCCCAGUUGAGCCUUCAGAUGAGGCAGCCCUGGCCGACAGCUUGAUUGCAACUUCAUGAAACACCCAAAGCCAGAAACAUCCAGAUACGCUUGCUGCUCCCAGACUCGUGACCCACAGGAAAGGUCACAUUCAUGGGUACCAGGGGUUACCACCUGGACAAGCCUUUUCGGGGGACACGAUUUGACCCAAGUCCAGCUGUUUGAAGCUGCUAAGUUUGGAGUAAUCUGUUGCACAGCCACAAGGAUCUUAGGCAGGUUUCUCAACCUCUGCACUCAUUUGGGGCCGGAUCAUUCUCUGUUGUGGGGACCGAGUGCUGGAGGUUAUCUUCCAGCAUCCCUGGCCUCCCCCGACUACCUGACUAGAUGCCAGCUGCACACCCCCACCCCCCACCCCAUGACAAGCUAAACUGAUGCCCCGGGGCAGGAUCCAGCACUCCGGUGGAGAACAUGGCUCAGUGGAUAGUCGGUUCCCGUUGCGUUUUGCCUCCUGUCUUCUGGUUUUGGCCUCUCUGGCUGCAGACCAGGAGCUCUGCACCUGAGAUUCUACCGCUAUGCCUAUUUUACAGAGAGGAGCUGGGGGAAGACGGGGGUCCGGGAAGGGCCAGGCUGGAGGGCUGUUUCCCCAGAGCCCACUUGGAGGGAGCUGGCUGGGCAGAUCUGACCAGCCCUGCGCCAGGCCCCGAGGAGCAGUCAGGGGACUCAGGGAGUCACAGCACAACGGCAGCUCCUCGGUCCCAGACGGAGGAGGGGGA